rnacentral:rRNA from 1 species
GAUGAACGCUGGCGGCGUGCCUAAUACAUGCAAGUCGAGCGAAUGGAUUAAGAGCUUGCUCUUAUGAAGUUAGCGGCGGACGGGUGAGUAACACGUGGGUAACCUGCCCAUAAGACUGGGAUAACUCCGGGAAACCGGGGCUAAUACCGGAUAACAUUUUGAACCGCAUGGUUCGAAAUUGAAAGGCGGCUUCGGCUGUCACUUAUGGAUGGACCCGCGUCGCAUUAGCUAGUUGGUGAGGUAAUGGCUCACCAAGGCAACGAUGCGUAGCCGACCUGAGAGGGUGAUCGGCCACACUGGGACUGAGCCACGGCCCAGACUCCUACGGGAGGCAGCAGUAGGGAAUCUUCCGCAAUGGACGAAAGUCUGACGGAGCAACGCCGCGUGAGUGAUGAAGGCUUUCGGGUCGUAAAACUCUGUUGUUAGGGAAGAACAAGUGCUAGUUGAAUAAGCUGGCACCUUGACGGUACCUAACCAGAAAGCCACGGCUAACUACGUGCCAGCCGCCGCCGUAA